rnacentral:tRNA from 1 species
GGAUUAUGGCUCAGUGGCAGAGCACUUGCUUUGCAUGUAUAAGGUACUGGGUUUGAUCCUCAGCACCA